UCUUACCGCUACUUCACUUUCACUUUCUUUAGAUUUAUUGUGAAUUGAGGCGUGAAAUUGGAGAUUUGAAACGGGGUUGGAAAAAAGAAAAUAUUACGAAUCUAUAUAAGAUCUUAAAUUUCGCUGUUACGUUUAUUGUUGGAUAACUUUCUGGUGAUAACAAACGGUUAACUCUUCACUAUGAGCUUCAAAUCAGGCGUAUGGACAACGUUGUUCCUGCUUUCGUUGGUGGUACUUGCAGCAGCCAGACCUCAGGAGUUCGAUGAUGAUGACCACGACCAGGCUGAAGAGAAGAAAGACGACGUGGCUCGUGUCCAGAUCAAAGUGUAUCGGGGCCCCACUAAGCACGACGGGUAUGCCCCCUGGGGCUUCUGGGUGAAACAGCCUUCCGAUGACGACUAGAUUGUUAAACUACCUUUAGAUUAAAGCUACAUGUUGAUCAUACGCAGUGGUAUGUUAACAAAAAUCACAGGCAAAUGUGAUAAGUGAUCAACUGUAUCAAUUUCGACUAAAGACAGACCACGUAGCUACAAGCAGAGUUUUAUUAUUAAUGGAAGCUGAGUGUUGUUAAUAUUAUUUAUUGUAAAAACCAAAGAUUAACGAUUUG